AUGCUGGGCACAGCAGGUGUCUUAAGAAGGAUCUGGUGUAGGAACGAGAAGUGUGCUCUGCUCCAAAAAUCUCCUUCCUGUCUCUCAGCUUCUUCCUAUUUAAAAAGACAGCUGGAAUAUAAGGAGGUCUAAGUAACAGAAGGGAUGGCUGCAGUGCACGCGGUGCCUUUAGUGCCCUCCUCAACACAGCACCCGAAAAAUCAGAGCUGGAACCGAGAGAGUAAUGGUUUUGUGGCCAUUUAGCAACCAUCUGCUAAAAGAUGGAGAUCAUUCUGUGAAGGUACAUGUGACUGAAAGGUUAGGUAAAACCUUCCAGUGUGUGUGUUUGCGAUGAAGGACUGAUAUUUAUUUGGUAUAGUUGAAAUUGCAAGAACUCUUCUCGCCUCAGCGAUUUGUAUCUGCUACAUUAAGAUGAACACUGAAAACCUUAAUGUGAUGUCUGAAAUGAUGAUUAAUUUACGGCAUUCAUCUUGGUUUGCUAAUCAUUCUGGCUUUAGCUGAUAUUUUUAUUUGUAAUCUCCACAGUUAAAUUGCCAUAAAAUAUCAUAGUUACAAAUACAUUAAUGAGCAGUUGAAAGGAUAUGACACAUGGUAAUUUAGCAAUUAAUGCACACAUAAAGAAGCAAAUUCAAGAGAAAGAUACUAAUACAUGUAUGUUGUAGGGAAAACAAAGCAGGGUGAAAAAAAUCCAAAAAAAGCUGCAAACUGGACAAUAAGCACAUGAGCAUUGCAACUGUCUCUCCAAACGACAGUCUGGAGAUAUAGAAUCAUUAAAGCUGGAAAAGACCACCAAGUGCAACCAUCAACCCAGCCCCACCAUGCCAAUUGCACGUGUCCCUCAGUGCCACAUCCCCACGGCUCCUGAACACCUCCAGGGACGGUGACCCCACCACCUCCCUGGGCAGCCUAUGCCAAUGCAUCACCAGCAUCUCUGAACAAAGAAGAACAAAGGGCACAGUAAUGUCACAAAACAAUCUGGUGCUGAGCAGUUGUGGUACCAGCUGGAAAACGUCCUCAGUCCAUGCCUGAUUAAGCUCUGCUUUGCUGUCUCCCAUAGUGCAGACAGAUAGAAAACGUCCCCCAUUUAAUAACACUUGCACUCAUCGCUUCCACUGCGGAGGCACUGGGGAGUUCCACGAUAACAUCAUUACAUCACAGCAGUGUUAUAGGAAGGAUGAAGAAUACCUACAUCUGCAGGCAAUCCAGAAGAAAAGCAUUUUCUUCUGAACAGCAAUCAGAAGCUUAAAAGGAGGUGGGGGAGAUGAUGAAAUAAUCACAAUAAUUGCACUGCUUUCAAUACACUUAACGUGUGGUGAAGUUUGUGGUAGAGUUGGUUUAUUUGUUUAAACCUGGCUAAUUUAUCUCCUGCAAAUGAUGUCCAUGAUUAACUGCAUUAAUAUGAUUAUCCUUUUCAGGUCACUGUAAUUGCAUGAAGGAGAAAUUUAGAGUUAUGUUUUCCUUUUGUUGACUAUUAAUUGCUCAUGUAGCUCCACUUGGGUGUACAGGGAGAGAUCCAUUUCUUUCACGGCAUACAGAGACAUAAAUUACAUGAAAUUGAGGAUCUUUUCCCCCACUCUGUGCAGGCAAUGCGUUGUUUGGUGUUUAUUCUUCGCAGAAAAUAUUUAGUCAUUAAUCUUACACAAUACAGUUGGGCAUUUUGAAAUAAAGAAAUUAAGAGUUCAACCA
rnacentral:lncRNA from 1 species